AAGUAUCGAUAAAAUAUCGAAGAGGCGACGAGAGGACACGUAUUGGAAGGGUGUCUGCGUUAAAACUUGUUUUUGUUGGUUAAGGGAAAAGGAUGCCUGAGUACGAACGACUGGAAGGAGAAGGUGGCUGUGGGGCGUCAUGGAGGGCACUCACGUCCUUGGAGAAGAAGUUGAUGUUUCUGAGUAUUCUUUUGGGGAUCGUUGUGUUUGCGCUAACCUUGGCCCUAGCGACUCAUAAGUGUCCAGGGCCGGCACCCAUAACUACCACUUCACCAGUGACUCCCACCACCCCAAAAUCUUCAUCUUCGUCAGGCCCUACGACCACAGCAUCUUCAUCUUCUUCAAGCCCUACGACCACAGCAUCUUCAUCUUCUUCAGGCCCUACGACCACAGCAUCUUCAUCUUCUUCAGGCCCUACGACCACAGCAUCUUCAACUUCUUCAACGAGUUCUUCGUCUCCAACGGUACCGACGACUCAGAGUACUUCAUCUUCCACCAGUGGUGUUUCUUCUACGCAAGAGUCAUCGUCUGCGUCUACGGAUUCCAGGUCUUCCUCUUCAACACAAUGAGGGUCUAAAUGUUACAUCAUAAUUUCACGUAUCGCGAUUUAUACAAAAUGUGUUAAUCAAUUUUUUAAUAAAACCUCCGACAGUGUCUGAGAACACCAA